rnacentral:lncRNA from 1 species
UUCUGAUGUGUUAGUUUUAUCUCAUUUUAUUUUAUUAUUAUCCUUUAGAACCCUAUUUGUUUUCUAAUGGGAGACAGAAAAGGGGCGGAUCCAGAUGGGAGGAGUGGAGAGAGGGAAAACAUAAUCAGUAUAUAUUAUAUGAGAAAAAAAUCUAUUUUCAAUAAAAAGAGAGGGGGAAAGGACAUGAGGUUUGGAGGAAGACUUGUUGGAGGGGUUGUGGAGAGCAUUGUACAGGGGAGGAAGAGUGGACCCAAUGAAGAUACAUUGUACACAUAUGUGAAAUUUUCAAAGAAUAAAUAUUAUUUGCAAGCGAGAAUGUGUUCCACUCAAUACAAUAGACUUAUUUCGUAGUUUUAGGUUUGUUUUUGUUUUUUUGUUGUUGUUUGUACUCCUAGCAAAAUAUGACAAAGCCCUCAAAGGGAUGUUUUUAAUGAGUUGACUUUCAAUAUGAGCUCAAUUUUCUGGGUGACUGUGUCUAAAUUCUUCAUAGUACCACCUAGGAUCCAAAGCACAGAAGUACACUACACCGUCAACGAGAACUCUCAAGUUGUUCUCCCGUGUGUCGCUGAUGGAAUCCCCACGCCUGCAAUUCACUGGGAAAGAGACAGCGUUCUUCUAGCCAACUUGUUAGGGAAGUACACUGCCCAGCCAUAUGGAGAACUCGUCUUGGAAAAUGUUGUG